rnacentral:tRNA from 1 species
GGGGCUGUAGCUCAGUGGUAGAGUGCGUACCUAGCAUGUGUGAGGCACUGGGUUCGAUUCUCAGCACCACA